GCGUCCUACGGGACGCAGCAGUGGGGAAUAUUGCACAAUGGGGGAAACCCUGAUGCAGCGACGCCGCGUGAGUGAAGAAGUAUUUCGGUAUGUAAAGCUCUAUCAGCAGGGAAGAAAAUGACGGUACCUGACUAAGAAGCCCCGGCUAACUACGUGCCAGCAGCCGCGGUAAUACGUAGGGGGCAAGCGUUAUCCGGAUUUACUGGGUGUAAAGGGAGCGUAGGCGGCAUGGCAAGUCAGAAGUGAAAGCCCGGGGCUCAACCCCGGGACGGCAUUUGAAACUGUCA
rnacentral:rRNA from 1 species